CCUACGGGGUGCUGCAGUGGGGAAUAUUGGACAAUGGGCGAAAGCCUGAUCCAGCCAUGCCGCGUGUGUGAAGAAGGCCUUCGGGUUGUAAAGCACUUUCAGUGGGGAAGAAAGCCUUGGGGCUAAUACCCUCGAGGAAGGACAUCACCCACAGAAGAAGCACCGGCUAACUCCGUGCCAGCAGCCGCGGUAAUACGGAGGGUGCGAGCGUUAAUCGGAAUUACUGGGCGUAAAGCGCGCGUAGGCGGUCUGAUAAGCCGGUUGUGAAAGCCCCGGGCUCAACCUGGGAACGGCAUCCGGAACUGUCAGGCUAGAGUGCAGGAGAGGAAGGUAGAAUUCCCGGUGUAGCGGUGAAAUGCGUAGAGAUCGGGGGGAAUACCAGUGGCGAAGGCGGCCUUCUGGACUGACACUGACGCUGAGGUGCGAAAGCGUGGGUAGCAAACAGGAUUAGAUACCCUUGUAGUC
rnacentral:rRNA from 1 species